rnacentral:rRNA from 1 species
UACGUAGGGAGCAAGCGUUGUUCGGAUUUACUGGGCGUAAAGGGCGCGUAGGCGGCAAAUUAAGUCAGCUGUGAAAUCUCCGAGCUUAACUCGGAACGGUCAGCUGAUACUGAUCUGCUAGAGUGCGGAAGGGGCAAUCGGAAUUCUUGGUGUAGCGGUGAAAUGCGUAGAUAUCAGGAGGAACACCGGUGGCGAAGGCGGAUCUCUGGGCCAUUACUGACGCUGAGGAGCGAAAGCCAGGGGAGCAAACGGG